AACGUAGGACACAAGCGUUAUCCGGAGUUACUGGGCGUAAAGCGCGCGUAGGCGGCGCGACGCGACCGGUGUGAAAGCCCCCGGCUCAACUGGGGAGGGUCAUCGGUAACGGUCGUGCUGUGAGUGCAGGAGAGGGAUGUGGAACUCCGGGAGUAGCGGUGAAAUGCGUAGAGACCCGGAGGAACACCAGUGGCGAAGGCGGCAUCCUGGUCUGCGACUGACGCUGAGGCGCGAAAAGCUAGGGGGAGCGAACGGGG
rnacentral:rRNA from 1 species